GGAAUACUUUGGUGAAGAAAACAGACCAACACCCUGUCCUCAUAAACUUACUUUCUCAUGGGAAAGGACUAAGCUCACAGGAACACAGAAGAAAGGAGACAAUAGCAGCUGCACAUAGUCUGGUUGGGAGGAUAAAAUAGCGUGCUAUGGAAACACAUUCAUCAUUUUAUCUCCAGCAGCCUGGAAUCUGCUUUAGAGAAAACGCUCCCCAAAUGGUUAUUGAAUGAAUGAGUGAUGACCACCCCAGCCCCCAUCUCCCCGUGGGUAAAGCCCUUCCCAUUCUCUGGGCCAUGGGCUCCUCAUCAGUUCACAGAGAUGUUGUCUAAGGGCCCCCGACUGCUGGCAUCUGGUGACUGAUGUGACAGUAGCAUGUCUGGGUUGGGGGAAGGCCUGCUCACCCCAAUGGGGCCUUUGCGUCAGUCCCCAUUGCUGGCUGCGGGGCGAUAUCGCCCAGAGACAACUGCUCCCACA